rnacentral:rRNA from 1 species
GACAGAGGGUGCAAACGUUGUUCGGAAUUACUGGGCGUAAAGCGAGUGUAGGCGGUUUGGUAAGUCGGAUGUGAAAGCCCCGGGCUCAACCCGGGAAGUGCACUCGAUACUGCCAGGCUAGAGUAUCGGAGAGGUUGGUGGAAUUCUCGGUGUAGAGGUGAAAUUCGUAGAUAUCGAGAGGAACACCGGUGGCGAAGGCGGCCAACUGGACGAAUACUGACGCUGAGACUCGAAAGCGUGGGGAGCAAACAGG